CAUCGGGAAUAUCGUGUCCG
rnacentral:miRNA from 1 species